rnacentral:rRNA from 1 species
AUUGAACGCUGGCGGCAGGCCUAACACAUGCAAGUCGAGCGAGCGGCGGACGGGUGAGUAAUGUAUGGGGACUGCCCGAUAGCGGGGGAUAACUACUCGAAACGGUGGCUAAUACCGCAUACUAUCGGAUAACCCAUAUUGGAUUAGCUAGUAGGUGGGGUAAAGGCUCACCUAGGCGACGAUCUCUAGCUGGUCUGAGAGGAUGAUCAGCCACACUGGGACUGAGACACGGCCCAGACUUCUACGGAGGCAGCAGUGGGGAAUAUUGGACAAUGGGAGCAAGCCUGAUGCAGCCAUGCCGCGUGUAUGAAGAAGGCCUUAGGGUUGUAAAGUACUUUCAGCGGGGAGGCGGUAUCCGCAGAAGAAGCACCGGCUAACUCCGUGCCAGCAGCCGCGGUAAUUC